GGCUCCGUAGCUCAGUUGGCUAGAGCAUUCGGUUCAUACCCGAAGUGUCAAUGGUUCGAAUCCGUUCGGAGCCA
rnacentral:tRNA from 1 species